rnacentral:rRNA from 1 species
UGGGGAAUAUUGCACAAUGGAGGGAACUCUGAUGCAGCGACGCCGCGUGAGUGAUGAAGGACUUCGUUUCGUAAAACUCUGUUCUAUGGGAAGAAAAGGACUGUACCAUAGGAGAAAGCUCCGGCUAAAUACGUGCCAGCAGCCGCGGUAAUACGUAUGGAGCGAGCGUUGUCCGGAAUUAUUGGGCGUAAAGGGUGCGCAGGCGGCUUUACAAGUUGGAGGUGAAAUAUUGUGGCUCAACCACAAACGUGCAUCCAAAACUGCAAAGCUUGAGUGAAGGAGAGGUAAGUGGAAUUCCUGGUGGAGCGGUGGAAUGCGUAGAUAUCAGGAGGAAUACCGGUGGAGAAGGCGACUUACGGGACUUAAACUGACGCUCAGGCACGAAAGCGUGGGGAGCAAGCAGG